AUUGGACAAUGGGCGCAAGCCUGAUCCAGCAACGCCGCGUGGAGGACGAAGGUCUUCGGAUCGUAAGCUCCUGUCAGGCGGGACGAAGGCUUCCGGGCAAAUAGUCUGGAAGCUUGACGGUACUGCCAGAGGAAGCCCCGGCUAACUCCGUGCAGCAGCCGCGGUAAUACGGAGGGGGCUAGCGUUAUUCGGAAUUAUUGGGCGUAAAGGGCGCGUAGGCGGCCCGGUAAGUCAAAGGUGAAAUCCCUCGGCUCAACUGAGGAACUGCCUUUGAAACUGUCGGGCUUGAGGCCGGGAGGGGGUAGCGGAAUUCCCAGUGUAGCGGUGAAAUGCGUAGAUAUUGGGAGGAACACCGGUGGCGAAGGCGGCUACCUGGACCGGUUCUGACGCUGAUGCGCGAAAGCGUGGGUAGCAAACAGGAUUAGAUACCCUGGUAGUCCACGCUGUAAACGAUGGGUGCUCGGUGUCGCGGGUAUCGACCCCUGCGGUGCCUUAGCUAACGCGUUAAGCAC
rnacentral:rRNA from 1 species